rnacentral:lncRNA from 1 species
CAAAGGCACUAAUAAUCGUCAAGAUUCCGUCUAUGUGGCUAUCGAGAAGAGUGAAGAAGAGAAGAGAAGGAAGAAGAGACUUGUGUGAGAUGAAGAGAAGUAACCAGGGGGCUAGAUAAAGAAGUGGGAGGACCUUCUUGUGAAGAAAGAAGAGAAGAAAGAGGGCCAAAUCACAAAGUGCAGAUGAGAGGAGGGGAACAAAAUCCCUAGGCGCUGGAUGGAUCCGAUCGGGCCUGGCUACUCAACUCUCUCCCUCACACCCCCUUCUCCACAUCCGACUACCGCCGCGGCCAGGCCGGCGUGGCAGCACGCCACCAGCACCUCCCACCACAUCACCACCUUGUGCCAUCCACCAGCGCCACCAUCUUCUUCUCCUUCCCCGAGUCCACCAUCAUCCAUCCACACCGCCGCCACCAGCACCACAGCGCUUCCCCGCACCUCGCGCCCCUGCUGCUCUUCUUCUUCUCCAAACCUUGCUGCUGCUUCUUCUUCCCCAAACUUUGCUGCUCCCCUUUCCUAGCGCCUCAACCUGCUGCUCCUUCUCCUUCGCCUGCUGCUAGUUCCUUUCCCCACGCCUCUGCUGCUCCUCCUCUUAAAACUGUUGCUGCUCUUCUUUCCCAUGUUCCUACUCUGCACUCUGCUUCUCACCUCCGUUGCUGCUGUUUCUCUUCUGAACCUCUGCUACUGUUCAGCUUUGAACCUCUGCAUCUGUGUUGAAUGUGCUUUCAGUGUUCUUGAGAUGUGUAAAACUAUUCAAUAUUCAGCUUACAAUUUGUGAAACUUUUGUGAUUCAGUGGUGUCUCUAUAUUAUACAUAUAGCUUGUGUACUGCUUGCUGCAGUAACUUUUAGUUUGUAAGUUCCUGUGAUAGCUCCAGUACAUGUGAUUUUUAUGUUGUCUCAAGUUCCUGUUAUAUAUAUACAUAUGUGUGUGUCUGUGAUGUGAUACAUUUAUGUUCUGUCCUACAACCUUAUCUUUUAGCAUUUUCUUUCUCAAGCAUAACAGAAAUAUCAAAAAGAAAGAGUAAAGAUAAUCUUCAUCUCCCUUUGCUCCUUUGUCAUUUUCUUUGUUGAUGAUCCUUGUUAGUGUUAGGUUUAUUUUCUGUUUUCAUCAUUCAGUUGGGUCACCUAGCUUUAGUUGAACGUAGUUGCCGUCGCCUAGUCCCUGUGGAGAACACGACAUUCGCAGUUCGGGCAAAAUAUCCUGUUGUACUUACUUUUGAUCAUUUUGGCGCCGUUGCCAGGGAUUAGCAUCGAGUGACCGUGUUAGGCUAUAGACUAGGUUUUUCUUGUUUUCAUUUUGUGUCAUAUAUUUGUGAUAUAUCUCUAGCCACUAACCCCUAUUUUAGUUAGUAUCUUUUUCUCUUCUUUUUCUUUUUUGCAGGUUGUAUUAUCCUCUUGGAAAUGGCAUUCUAUUCAGAUCAUCAGGCUUAUGCGAGCAACACUACAAACAGCACGGAAAGUGUUCAAGAAUUGAUAAGUAAGAUUUCCCAUCAAUUAGAUGAUUUAGCUCGGCAGUGAGAAGUAAUUUUUGAGGAUAGGCCUAUCUCUUAUGAUCCUUAUUCUAGAGGCCAUCCUUAUGUUGCUCCUACCUGCCAUAUUUGUGGAUUUCAGGGCCAUUCACCUGCUGAAUGUCAGUGUGAUUACUCCCAUCCUCCGGAUUGAUUUGGCAUGAGCUUCGCUCAACAGCAUAGCUCAUACCAAAACAAUUACUCACAUGGGUGGCCUGAAAACUCGAAUAUGUCAUAUAGGAGCAACAACCCUGAGAUCUCAUCGUUUGCCUCUAGUUAUCCAUUGCAGGGAUUUAGGUACAAUGAGGAGAACCACAACUAUGCUCCACAACAGUCUUAUUCAGCUCCUAUUCAUAUACCUCUUCACCAGGAUAUGUGUCCAAUGGAGUUAAAUGGUCCUCCAUUUGGUCAACCAACAACUUCAGCACCUAAUGAGCCGGUAGAGCAAUCUCAUGUGCAAGUGCCCACACAAGAUGAAUUUGAUGAUAUAGACAAGCUCACAUUGCUUUGUCUCGAGUUCACUUGGAGUGUUGAAGAUGAUCCAAUUAGGCCGAUGAUACUAGAUGAAAUGAAGAAUAUCAAGAGUGGAAAAGAGCUAGUGGAUGAAGUAAGGAAGAUUAAGAAGAACAUCAAUGCUGGUAGUACUAUCUCAUCUCUCCUUGAGCUGAGUGCUGCUGAGAUUUCUAGUUAUACCUGUGAGGUUCCAACACCGUCACAUUUAGCUGAUCAAGAUAGCGAGAGCCCAGAGGAAGAGAUACCUCAGAUUGAAGAUGUACUCGAAGCCAAGGCACAAGAUGAUCCAGAGCUCAAAUGCCCAAGUGAUCAAGUUGAAGAUCCAAUGUCUAUCCCUCCUGAAGAAGUAAAAGAAGCUAUUGUAGAUGAAGAUGAAGAACCUGAGAUUCAUUUGCCUAUUUUCAUACAAGAGCGUGAUGUGUCAGGUUUAUCUAAUCCUCUUAAUGACAUGUCUUCAUAUGAAUUGUUUGCUAGUACCUUGAAUUGCAUGAUGCCAUCACUUAAGGUAGAUUUGAAAAACUAUUUGCUUGGACAUGAUCAUACACACCCUGUUAGUGGCAUUGCUCAUAUCUCUGUUCAUGAUACUUAUGUUCCUGAUGCUAUACCCAUGCUUAAUGAAACGUGUGAUUCUAAUACUAGCAUUGAGCUUACUGAUUUGUACCAUCCUAAACAUGUGCUUUAUAGCUAUGCUUAUGUAAUUGGGUAUUCUAUUGAUGAUUUAGAGGGCAUUACCCCUGUCACUUGUAUCGCCUCCUUGGUUGAGUGCUCUUUCAGGUUGUUGCUUGUGCACGAUCCACUACAUGUUGAUCAAGUUCGAGAUGACAUUCCCUGGGACCCCGGUGGACCCAUGGCAUGGGGAUGAGGAGAAGCAAGGGGCACAUACGAAGAAGAGUGAAGCUGGAUCAUGCAUGAGGAAGCAAAAGGAGAGGAGUCACAAUGCACGAGGAUGUGAGAGUGAUCGAGCAAGACCUACAUCAUAUAAGCCCGGUGAGCUGUUUCAUGACCCCAAUCUGAAUACCAUCAUACAUUAUACAUGCUGUAAUCAACUGCUAUUUGGGUCGCUUGAGCAAUUUCUUAAAUAUCGUCCCACUGAAUUUACCUUCGACAUAGGGUGAUUGAUGUGAAUAUGUGAACUGAGUGUCGAAUGCCUUGUAAACUAGUGAUCUAUACAAUGCUUGCUUUGCUGAAAGUAGUGGAAGCUAUUAGUUUUGAGUGCUCAAAUCCUUAGUACACUAGAAAACUUAAUCAUUUACUGCAUUUACUAUGAUUCACCUAGAUCAUCAAGUGUCAGAUGCUGAGUUUGUGCCUAAUGUGUUCACAUUGAGAGCAAUCACCUAACCACUAUGGAUUAGCAUGCUAUGUUCCCUGGAUCGGUAGCAUGUGAACCAGACAUGGAGAAGUGAUGAUUCCUAUUUUUGUGCUUAUGUGUUGUUCAUUUAAGAUAAGUAAUAAUGAAUAAAUAAGUCUGGCUACCUACAGUAGCAUGUCAUGUUCCCGGGAUCGGUGGCAUGUGAAAUCGGGUUAGCUUGGGCAGUAAUUAAUAAUAAUAAUGAUGUAAUUGUCGAACCAGGUGUAUACCAUGUUCUCGGGAUCGGUGGUAUGUUCCUUUGGGGAGACAAACAAAAAAAUUAAUAAAAAUUGGUUGAGCCAGGUGUAUACCAUGUUCUCGGGAUCGGUGGUAUGUUCCUUCGGUGAGACUAAUAAAAUAAUAUGUGUGUUUCUUUCAAAUUCAAUAAGUGGUUCAACCACAAAGUCAUAUUUCUGCAAAUAAGAGAUUUAAUUCUAGUUCUUUUUGUUCUCGGGAUCAUGCUCUCUUUAGGAACCAUUUGGCAGUCAUCAUUUAAACUUGUUGAUCCUCUUUUAUCACUGUAAAAGUUUAAAAUGGUCAUGCUUACUAGUAUCCUACUGCUUUGUAGCACUUCUAACCAUUAAUUUUCACUAGCUAAGUCUGAAGCAUGCCUUGUUUGGAGAUCUAUUUUACAAGGACAUUCCUUACUUAGUUUAUUGUUCAUUAUCUUGCCUUUGUCAUAUUCCUUUGCUUGACGACAAGCAAAGAUUUAAGUGGGGGGGAACUUGAUAAGUAUAUUUCACAUAUAUAAUUUUGGUACUCAAAUAUAGCAUCUAUCGUGACAUAUUCGUCCAUUCUUGCCAUGAUUGAUUGAAUAUUGCUUGAUAAUCAUCAAAAAGGAUCAUUUACUAGUCUUUGGUCUAUCUUGCAGAAAUGUGCGCAAAGGCACUAAUAAUCGUCAAGAUUCCGUCUAUGUGGCUAUCGAGAAGAGUGAAGAAGAGAAGAGAAGGAAGAAGAGACUUGUGUGAGAUGAAGAGAAGUAACCAGGGGGCUAGAUAAAGAAGUGGGAGGACCUUCUUGUGAAGAAAGAAGAGAAGAAAGAGGGCCAAAUCACAAAGUGCAGAUGAGAGGAGGGGAACAAAAUCCCUAGGC